rnacentral:rRNA from 1 species
CGGACGGGUGAGUAAUGUCUGGGAAACUGCCCGAUGGAGGGGGAUAACUACUGGAAACGGUAGCUAAUACCGCAUAACGUCGCAAGACCAAAGAGGGGACCUUCGGGCCUCUUGCCAUCGGAUGUGCCCAGAUGGGAUUAGCUUGUAGGUAAGGUAACGGCUUACCUAGGCGACGAUCCCUAGCUGGUCUGAGAGGAUGAUCAGCCACACUGGGACUGAGACACGGCCCAG